CCCGGACUGGAGUUUGAUUUUAAUCUGCCUUUAAACGACGGAAAAACACAUAGAAAUGCACUUAUACGGCUCCACGUAAACUGAAUAACUCUAAAGUUAUAAAGUGUCAAGCCAACGAGCUAGAGCAGUUCUUUUUGAAGGUUUUUGAUGCUAAAGCAGCCACUUUGUGUGUGUCUGUUUCAGGGAACGGUUGGUGUACUAUGACCUCCAGACUGCAGUUGGAUCAUGGAGGAGUACAACUGGUUGUUCUGGAGGCCUGCAGGCAACGUGAAGUGGGCCGAUGGUGGACUGUCUAAAUCCUGGAUAGUUGGCCAGUCACCAAGGGGACAUUCGCACCUAAGGUUAUCCAUUUUGGAGAAAAAGUCAUUACAGCCACCUGAAGGGAAACAAGGAGGCUUCGAUUUGGAGGGGCACUGUGGUCCUGACAUGACAAUAUUGUGAGGAGUUCAUCACUUUGGCGUAAGAGGAGUUCAAUUGACGAAAUCCAUUUAGAUGUCUUCUUUUGGGGAAACAAACGAUGCAGACAAGUGCAACAUUACCGUGAGAGCAGUCAGAAUUUUGAUGCCGUAAAGUCAAGGUUCCAGUUCUAUACAAGCGUAAAUCUUUUCUUUUUAGGUAAAUGGCAAAUCAAUUACUUGUCUUCUUUUGGGAAACAAAUGAUGCGGACAAACCGGGGUUCAAUCCCCGGCCCCGCCUGUGUGGAGUUUGCAUGUUCUCCCCGUGCCUGCGUGGGUUUUCUCCGGGCACUCCGGUUUCCUCCCACAUCCCCAAAACAUGCGUGGUAGGUCAAUUGAAGACUCUAAAUUGCCCGUAGGUGUGAAUGUGAGUGCGAAUGGUUGUUUGUUUCUCUGUGCCCUGCGAUUGGCUGGCAACCGGUUCAGGGUGUACCCCGCCUCCUGCCCGAUGAUAGCUGGGUUAGGCUCCAGCACGCCCGCGACCCUUGUGAGGAGAAGCGGCUCGGAAAAUGGAUGGAUGAUGCGGACAAGUGCAACGGUCUGAAUCCUUGUACACUUUGAUAAUGUUUUGUUUGUCAGCCACAACUGUAAACGUCAUAUACACACACACACACACAAUCUCACACACACACACACGCACACCGUGUCUGGGAAAGAGUCGAAUGGCUAGUGCACUUUGCUAAGUGGCACUUCCUUCCUCGACACACUCCAGAUGACGUGUUGAACGGCUGCAUGGCAACCAUCUGGACAGGAUCCAACUGCUGUGAUUGUGUGUGCGUGCAUGUACGCGUGUGUGUGUGUGUGUGUGUGUGUGUGUGUGUGUGUGUGUGUGUCCAGGUCAGGCUUGGUUUAAGAUUGCCGCUGUUGUUUGGGGCGAGUGUGACAGCGGAGCAUUAGUGGCCAUUAAUCGUGAAAUUGUGUACGUUACUGUCAGGUUGUGUGCGUGUGUGUGACCAGUGAAUUCAACUGAAGUCUUGUUAGGAAAUUCCACACGCCAUUAUUAGGUUGUCGUGGUGAUCGGAAGGCAAAGAAAGAUCGAAUGGUUUUGAAUCGCAAAUAAAUCCAAUCAAAACAUGAAAAGACCACAGU